rnacentral:lncRNA from 1 species
UGGUUGUACUUUAAGUUGCCGGUGAAUGUCAAAAGGGAACAACGCAUUUAGUAUUAUUACUGUAAGCUAUUGAUGAGUUUGGUCAACAUAUGCAGAUGUCCCAAAAUCAGCUGUCAGAAAAUCCCAAAGGGGAAUGCCUGCAACAGUGUAUUUCUUCAGAGUUAGCAGAACAACUUUCAGAGGUCGAAACUAUUAUCAAUAUGUAUACUCCGUUAGUAAAUAGUUGCUUUAGCUUUCUUACAUCCUUGUCUUUUUCCCAAUGUUUAUUCAGGUCACCUUCUUGGAGUCACGGCUGCAUGGAUUGUCCAAACCGGUAUUGAAAUCUACCGAAGCUUUUCUCGCAUAACGAACUCUGAUGAGAGUAAUGAGGCCAAUGUAACAGUUCG